GAAGCCGGAAGUGGACUCAUUUUCCACCGGAAGGAGGGAGAAAUUAUGACCGAGAGCCUGACACCUGAUGCUAGCGGCUUUUGUCUCGCCAAGUUGACCCAGUAUUUGGCCACCUUGUGCGGCGGGUGACUAUGGUGUCCAGGUAUAUAUAUGUAUUACCUGAAAGCCCAGGGCAGUUGUUGCCUUGGGUCAUGCAGAGAAUAUGCAGCCACACCCAUGCCUUAGAUGUGUGUAAUUCAAGUGGAGAAGACACAAGCCAGUGGUCGCAAUAUCAACACUUGAGUGUUCUGUAAACGAUUAAUGUUUGCCAUGUGCAAGGAAAUGGCAGAGGCAAAAUGCUGGCGGCUUAUGGAAAAAUAAUUUAUAAAAAAAUGAUGGGUUAGUUCUGCCAAAUUUGAGAUUGGUGUCAGCAGAAAACCAACAGUGAUGUGGUGGCACACAGUGAACUGACAGGACCCAGGCAGCAGCGGUUCUUUUGGUGGCAAUGGUGCCAUGUCAUGGGUACUCUCCUUGCUGAUGGCAGAUACCGACAGGCAAACUGUUGCCUUGCGUUUAGCUCUGUUAACCAUUGACAGUAAGAUUUAUCAGAGGUUGCAGCUGCACAUGGCCAUGAGGUAAACCUUGCCCCUGUUUGAAAUUGAGUUUCAUCAGCUUCUACAUGGGAUUAUAAGGACUUGGAAUAUAUCACAGACCCAGCAGGGUUUCCCCCCUCAUUUUUUUUUUUUAAGAUUUAUUUUUCUUCCUAAAGAUAACAUGCUUAAACAAAGUUCUUUAUGGUUAGUAACUGUGAUGCUUGAAGUUGGUUAUCCCUUACUCCAGUAAAUUUUAAAUGUCAAAGAUAUCUUGUUAAAUAAAAAAAAAACUAUCAAAA
rnacentral:lncRNA from 1 species